rnacentral:rRNA from 1 species
UACAGAGGGGGCAAGCGUUGUUCGGAAUUACUGGGCGUAAAGGGCGCGUAGGCGGCCUGUUAAGUCGAACGUGAAAUCCCCGGGCUCAACCCGGGAACUGCGUCCGAUACUGGCAGGCUUGAAUCCGGGAGAGGGAUGCGGAAUUCCAGGUGUAGCGGUGAAAUGCGUAGAUAUCUGGAGGAACACCGGUGGCGAAGGCGGAUCUCUGGGCCUUACCUGACGCUCAGGUGCGAAAGCUAGGGGAGCGGACAGG